UUAAGCGACCAAGCGUACACGGUGGAUGCCCUGGCAGUCAGAGGCGAUGAAGGACGUGCUAAUCUGCGAAAAGCGCCGGUAAGGUGAUAUGAACCGUUAUAACCGGCGAUGUCCGAAUGGGGAAACCCAGUGUGACUCGUCACACUAUCAUUAACUGAAUCCAUAGGUUAAUGAGGCGAACCGGGGGAACUGAAACAUCUAAGUACCCCGAGGAAAAGAAAUCAACCGAGAUUCCCCCAGUAGCGGCGAGCGAACGGGGAGGAGCCCAGAGCCUGAAUCAGCAUGUGUGUUAGUGGAAGCGUCUGGAAAGGCGCGCGAUACAGGGUGACAGCCCCGUACACAAAAGCGCAUGUGCUGUGAGCUCGAUGAGUAGGGCGGGACACGUGGUAUCCUGUCUGAAUAUGGGGGGACCAUCCUCCAAGGCUAAAUACUCCUGACUGACCGAUAGUGAACCAGUACCGUGAGGGAAAGGCGAAAAGAACCCCGGCGAGGGGAGUGAAACAGAACCUGAAACCGUGUACGUACAAGCAGUGGGAGCACAGGUUUACCUGUGUGACUGCGUACCUUUUGUAUAAUGGGUCAGCGACUUAUAUUCUGUAGCAAGGUUAACCGAAUAGGGGAGCCGGAGGGAAACCGAGUCUUAAUUGGGCGUUAAGUUGCAGGGUAUAGACCCGAAACCCGGUGAUCUAGCCAUGGGCAGGUUGAAGGUUGGGUAACACUAACUGGAGGACCGAACCGACUAAUGUUGAAAAAUUAGCGGAUGACCUGUGGCUGGGGGUGAAAGGCCAAUCAAACCGGGAGAUAGCUGGUUCUCCCCGAAAGCUAUUUAGGUAGCGCCUCGUGAAUUCAUCUCCGGGGGUAGAGCACUGUUUCGGCCAGGGGGCCAUCCCGGCUUACCAACCCGAUGCAAACUGCGAAUACCGGAGAAUGUUAUCACGGGAGACACACGGCGGGUGCUAACGUCCGUCGUGAAGAGGGAAACAACCCAGACCGCCAGCUAAGGUCCCAAAGUCAUGGUUAAGUGGGAAACGAUGUGGGAAGGCCCAGACAGCCAGGAUGUUGGCUUAGAAGCAGCCAUCAUUUAAAGAAAGCGUAAUAGCUCACUGGUCGAGUCGGCCUGCGCGGAAGAUGUAACGGGGCUAAACCAUGCACCGAAGCUGCGGCAGCGAACGUAUCACUUAAAGCGAUUCAGCGGAUGACGAUUGACGGAGCGAAGCGACGUCAAAGCGUUUUACAACAUCGAGUCGGUUUAAGGAUACGUUCGUUGGGUAGGGGAGCGUUCUGUAAGCCUGCGAAGGUGGCCUGUGAGGGUUGCUGGAGGUAUCAGAAGUGCGAAUGCUGACAUAAGUAACGAUAAUGCGGGUGAAAAACCCGCACGCCGGAAGACCAAGGGUUCCUGUCCAACGUUAAUCGGGGCAGGGUGAGUCGACCCCUAAGGCGAGGCCGAAAGGCGUAGUCGAUGGGAAACGGGUUAAUAUUCCCGUACCUGGUGUUACUGCGAAGGGGGGACGGAGAAGGCUAUGUUGGCCGGGCGACGGUUGUCCCGGUUUAAGCGUGUAGGCUGGUUUUCCAGGCAAAUCCGGAAAAUCAAGGCUGAGGCGUGACGACGAGGCACUACGGUGCUGAAGCAACAAAUGCCCUGCUUCCAGGAAAAGCCUCUAAGCCUCAGGUAACAUCAGAUCGUACCCGAAACCGACACAGGUGGUCAGGUAGAGAAUACCAAGGCGCUUGAGAGAACCCGGGUGAAGGAACUAGGCAAAAUGGUGCCGUAACUUCGGGAGAAGGCACGCUGACACGUAGGUGAAGCGGUUUACCCGUGGAGCUGAAGUCAGUCGAAGAUACCAGCUGGCUGCAACUGUUUAUUAAAAACACAGCACUGUGCAAACACGAAAGUGGACGUAUACGGUGUGACGCCUGCCCGGUGCCGGAAGGUUAAUUGAUGGGGUCAGCGCAAGCGAAGCUCCUGAUCGAAGCCCCGGUAAACGGCGGCCGUAACUAUAACGGUCCUAAGGUAGCGAAAUUCCUUGUCGGGUAAGUUCCGACCUGCACGAAUGGCGUAAUGAUGGCCAGGCUGUCUCCACCCGGGACUCAGUGAAAUUGAACUCGCUGUGAAGAUGCAGUGUACCCGCGGCAAGACGGAAAGACCCCGUGAACCUUUACUAUAGCUUGACACUGAACACUGGUCCUUGAUGUGCAGGAUAGGUGGGAGGCUUUGAAGUGUGGACGCCAGUCUGCAUGGAGCCGUCCUUGAAAUACCACCCUUUAAUGGCUGGUGUUCUAACGUAGACCCGUGAACCGGGUUGCGGACAGUGUCUGGUGGGUAGUUUGACUGGGGCGGUCUCCUCCUAAAGCGUAACGGAGGAGCACGAAGGUUGGCUAAUCCUGGUCGGACAUCAGGAGGUUAGUGCAAUGGCAUAAGCCAGCUUGACUGCGAGCGUGACGGCGCGAGCAGGUGCGAAAGCAGGUCAUAGUGAUCCGGUGGUUCUGAAUGGAAGGGCCAUCGCUCAACGGAUAAAAGGUACUCCGGGGAUAACAGGCUGAUACCGCCCAAGAGUUCAUAUCGACGGCGGUGUUUGGCACCUCGAUGUCGGCUCAUCACAUCCUGGGGCUGAAGUAGGUCCCAAGGGUAUGGCUGUUCGCCAUUUAAAGUGGUACGCGAGCUGGGUUUAGAACGUCGUGAGACAGUUCGGUCCCUAUCUGCCGUGGGCGCUGGAGAACUGAGGGGGGCUGCUCCUAGUACGAGAGGACCGGAGUGGACGCAUCACUGGUGUUCGGGUUGUCAUGCCAAUGGCACUGCCCGGUAGCUAAAUGCGGAAGAGAUAAGUGCUGAAAGCAUCUAAGCACGAAACUUGCCCCGAGAUGAGUUCUCCCUGAGACUACGAGUCUCCUGAAGGAACGUUGAAGACGACGACGUUGAUAGGCCGGGUGUGUAAGCGCAGCGAUGCGUUGAGCUAACCGGUACUAAUGAACCGUGAGGCUUAACCUU
rnacentral:rRNA from 1 species